GGCUCAGAACGAACGCUGGCGGCGCGCCUAAUACAUGCAAGUCGAACGAGAAUGUGUAGCAAUACACUUGUAAAGCGGCGAACGGGUGAGGAAUGCAUGGGUAACCUACCCUCGAGUGGGGAAUAACUAGCCGAAAGGUUAGCUAAUACCGCACACGUUUCCGGAACUUAGGUUUCGGAAAGAAAGCAAUACCGUGGGUAUUGCGCUCUUGGAUGGGCUCAUGUCCUAUCAGCUUGUUGGUGAGGUAACGGCUCACCAAGGCUUCGACGGGUAGCUGGUCUGAGAGGACGAUCAGCCACACUGGCACUGCGACACGGGCCAGACUCCUACGGGAGGCAGCAGUAAGGAAUAUUGCGCAAUGGGCGAAAGCCUGACGCAGCGACGCCGCGUGGGGGAUGAAGGUCUUCGGAUUGUAAACCCCUUUCGGGAGGGAAGAUGGAAUGGGUAACCAUUCGGACGGUACCUCCAGAAGCAGCCACGGCUAACUUCGUGCCAGCAGCCGCGGUAAUACGAAGGUGGCAAGCGUUGUUCGGAUUCACUGGGCGUACAGGGAGCGUAGGCGGUUGGGUAAGCCCUCCGUGAAAUCUCCGGGCCUAACCCGGAAAGUGCAGAGGGGACUGCUCAGCUAGAGGAUGGGAGAGGAGCGCGGAAUUCCCGGUGUAGCGGUGAAAUGCGUAGAGA
rnacentral:rRNA from 1 species